CAGCAUACAGGUCAAAUAAAGUGUUCCAGUCCAUCCGUGUGUGCUGGUCGGAGGGCCUGUUCUACAAUGCAGGGUUCAAACCUGCACUCCCUGCAUUGGAAGGCGAAGUCUCAACCACUGGACCACCAGGGAAGUCCCACAGACGUUUGUUUUUAAUGGAAAAAGAGCCACAGAUUGGAUAUGAAGACACUGGAGCUUGUAUCUAGAUCUGCACCCUGGCUGUGUGACCUCAGGCUGGUGGCACCAGCAAGGGAGGGACCUAUUCAGCAGGCUGUGAAGAACAACGCAGGAGUGAAGGAUCCAGUGGUUAAGACUUCGCCUUCCAGUGCAGGGAGUGUGGGUUCUAUCCCUGAUCAGGGACCUAGGAUCUCACAUGUUUCCCAGCCAAAAAACCAGAGCAUAAAACAGAAGCGAUAUUGUAACAAGUUCCAUAAAGACUUUAAAAAUGGUCCACAUCAAGAA
ensembl:lncRNA